GACGAACGCUGGCGGCGUGCCUAAUACAUGCAAGUCGAACGCUUCUUUCCUCCCGAGUGCUUGCACUCAAUUGGAAAGAGGAGUGGCGGACGGGUGAGUAACACGUGGGUAACCUACCCAUCAGAGGGGGAUAACACUUGGAAACAGGUGCUAAUACCGCAUAACAGUUUAUGCCGCAUGGCAUGAGAGUGAAAGGCGCUUUCGGGUGUCGCUGAUGGAUGGACCCGCGGUGCAUUAGCUAGUUGGUGAGGUAACGGCUCACCAAGGCCACGAUGCAUAGCCGACCUGAGAGGGUGAUCGGCCACACUGGGACUGAGACACGGCCCAGACUCCUACGGGAGGCAGCAGCAGGGAAUCUUCGGCAAUGGACGAAAGUCUGACCGAGAAACGCAGCGUGAGUGAAGAAGGUUUUCGGAUCGUAAAACUCUGUUGUUAGAGAAGAACAAGGACGUUAGUAACUGAACGUCCCCUGACGGUAUCUAACCAGAAAGCCACGGCUAACUACGUG
rnacentral:rRNA from 1 species